UACAGAGGGUGCAAGCGUUAAUCGGAGUUACUGGGCGUAAAGGGCGCGUAGGCGGUUAUAUAAGUGAGAUGUGAAAUCCCUGGGCUUAACCUAGGAACUGCAUCUCAUACUGUAUGGCUAGAGUAUUGUAGAGGGUAGUGGAAUUUCCGGUGUAGCGGUGAAAUGCGUAGAGAUCGGAAGGAACACCAGUGGCGAAGGCGGCUACCUGGACAAAUACUGACGCUGAGGCGCGAGAGCGUGGGGAGCAAACAGG
rnacentral:rRNA from 2 species